AAUAUUGGACAAUGGGCGAAAGCCUGAUCCAGCCAUGCCGCGUGUGUGAAGAAGGUCUUCGGAUUGUAAAGCACUUUAAGUUGGGAGGAAGGGGUUGAAGCUAAUACCUUCAAUCUUUGACGUUACCAACAGAAUAAGCACCGGCUAACUCUGUGCCAGCAGCCGCGGUAAUACAGAGGGUGCAAGCGUUAAUCGGAAUUACUGGGCGUAAAGCGCGCGUAGGUGGUUCAGUAAGAUGGGUGUGAAAUCCCCGGGUUUAACCUGGGAACUGCUUUCAUAACUGCUGAGCUAGAGUACGGUAGAGGGUAGUGGAAUUUCCUGUGUAGCGGUGAAAUGCGUAGAUAUAGGAAGGAACACCAGUGGCGAAGGCGACUACCUGGACGAAAACUGACGCUGAUGCACGAAAGCUAGGGGAGCAAACA
rnacentral:rRNA from 1 species